UACGUAGGGUGCAAGCGUUGUCCGGAAUUAUUGGGCGUAAAGAGCUCGUAGGCGGUUUGUUGCGUCGGCUGUGAAAUCCCGAGGCUCAACCUCGGGUCUGCAGUCGAUACGAGCAAACUAGAGUGUUGCAGGGGGAGACUGGAAUUCCUGGUGUAGCGGUGAAAUGCGCAGAUAUCAGGAGGAACACCGGUGGCGAAGGCGGGUCUCUGGGCAACAACUGACGCUGGAGGAGCGAAAGCCGUG
rnacentral:rRNA from 1 species